CGUAGGUGCAAGGCGUGUCCGGAAUUAUUGGUGCGUAAAAGAGCUCGUAGGCGGUCUGUCGCGUCGGCUGUGAAACCCCGGGGCUCAACCCCGGGCCUGCAGUCGAUACGGGCAGGCUUGAGUUCGGUAGGGGAGACUGGAAUUCCUGGUGUAGCGGUGAAAUGCGCAGAUAUCAGGAGGAACACCGGUGGCGAAGGCGGGUCUCUGGGCCGUAACUGACGCUGAGGAGCGAAAGCAUGGGGAGCGAACAGG
rnacentral:rRNA from 1 species